GUCCAUUUCAUGAACUAGUAAGCUGAACUCAGCAUUUCCCCAAGAUCACAUAUGUAAUUAAAGAGGGAUUAAGCCUCUAAUCUUAUCUUCUCACUUCUUACCAUUCUCUUUUAAAUAGCCUUCAAACUAAUGUUUGAACACUGAGUACCUGACGGUGUCAGUCAUUCAAGAAGAGCCCAAGGCCUUUCCUGGGUCUGCAACCCUUAGCACCACCAAAGUUGAAGGGAAUGAUGUCAACUGCCCCAUCAUACCUCAAACAGGAGACAGAAGGGAGCUCUUUUUCACAGUGAUGCAGAAGUGGUUUAAUCUAGUUAUAGACACCUGGGAUAGUGAGUCAGCUAACCUGUAAGAGGCAUGAAAGAGACAUGAUGGAAGCUACUUUCAACACCUCUAAUACCACAUCCACCAAAAUCUUCCUCUUCUCCUGUGCAGCUACAAGAGUUAAUUCAUCCUAAGAUGCAUGAAGAAAGUAAGAAAUAAUUUUAGUCUCAACUAUCUUAAUUUGCUUACCUAACAUUUCAUAAUGUAUGAGCAUUAAAA